UACAGAGGGUGCGAGCGUUAAUCGGAAUUACUGGGCGUAAAGCGCGCGUAGGCGGUUUUGCAAGUCGGAUGUGAAAUCCCCAGGCUUAACCUGGGAACUGCAUUCGAUACUGCGGGUCUCGAGUCCGGGAGAGGUGAGUGGAAUUCCUAGUGUAGAGGUGAAAUUCGUAGAUAUUAGGAAGAACACCAGUGGCGAAGGCGGCUCACUGGCCCGGUACUGACGCUGAGGCGCGAAAGCGUGGGGAGCAAACAGG
rnacentral:rRNA from 1 species